rnacentral:rRNA from 1 species
CCUACGGGAGGCAGCAGUGGGGAAUAUUGGGCAAUGGGCGCAAGCCUGACCCAGCAAUGCCGCGUGAAGGAAGAAGGCUUUCGGGUUGUAAACUUCUUUGACAGGGGAAGAGCAGAAGACGGUACCUGACGAAUAAGCCACGGCUAACUACGUGCCAGCAGCCGCGGUAAUACGUAGGUGGCAAGCGUUGUCCGGAUUUACUGGGUGUAAAGGGCGUGUAGCCGGGUUGACAAGUCAGAUGUGAAAUCCUGCGGCUUAACCGCAGAACUGCAUUUGAAACUGUGGAUCUUGAGUAAUGGAGAGGCAGACGGAAUGCCUAGUGUAGCGGUGAAAUGCGUAGAUAUUAGGAGGAACACCAGUGGCGAAGGCGGUCUGCUGGACAGCAACUGACGGUGAGGCGCGAAAGCGUGGGGAGCAAACAGGAUUAGAUACCCCGGUAGUC